rnacentral:tRNA from 1 species
GCCUUCGUGGUGUAACGGUAGCAUAAUCGGCGCGUAUUCGAGAGUUUCAGGUUCGAGUCCCAGCGAAGGCA